UGGGUAAUCUGCCCUCGGCACCGGGAUAGCCCGGGGAAACUCGGAUUAAUACCGGAUUGCCCCUCCGGCCUUCGGGCCGGCGGGAAAAGGUAGCUUCGGCCUCUGGCCGAGGAUGAGCCCGCGGCGGAUUAGCUUGUUGGUGAGGUAAUGGCUCACCAAGGCGACGAUCCGUAGCUGGUCUGAGAGGACGAUCAGCCACACUGGGACUGAGACACGGCCCAGACUCCUACGGGAANCAG
rnacentral:rRNA from 1 species